rnacentral:rRNA from 1 species
GAUGAACGCUAGCGGCAGGCUUAACACAUGCAAGUCGAGGGGCAGCAUGAAGGUUAGCAAUAACCUUUGAUGGCGACCGGCGCAAGGGUGCGUAACGCGUGAGCAACUUGCCCGUUUCAGGGGGAUAACCCGGUGGAAACGCCGACUAAUACCCCAUAGUACAACUUUGAGGCAUCUUUAGUUGUUAAAGAUUUCGGAAACGGAUAGGCUCGCGUGACAUUAGCUAGAUGGCGGGUAACGGCCCACCAUGGCGACGAUGUCUAGGGGUUCUGAGAGGAAGGUCCCCCCACACUGGAACUGAGACACGGUCCAAACUCCUACGGGAGGCAGCAGUGAGGAUAUUGGUCAAUGGACGGAAGUCUGAACCCGA